rnacentral:rRNA from 1 species
CUUUACUCUAACUUGGCACUGAUGUAUUCAGUUUGAUGCGCAGGAUAGGUGGGAGACUAUGAAAGAGACCCUCUGGGGUUUCCCGAGUCAUCCUUGAGAUACUACCCUUCACUCUGUGUACAUCUAACCCCAUAUUGGGGACAGUGCUUGGCGGGGAGUUUAACUGGGGCGGUUGCCUCCUAAAAAAUAACGGAGGCGCACAAAGGUAUGCUAGUCCCGGAUGGAAAUCGGGAUGGUCGUGUAUUCGCAUAAGCAUGCUUAACUGAGAGACCAACAAGUCGAUCAGAUACGAAAGUAGGUGAAAGUGAUCCGGCACCAACAUGUGGGAGUGGUGUCGCUCAACGGAUAAAAGUUA